rnacentral:lncRNA from 1 species
CUUUUUUCUUUCUUUCUUUUUUGUUUGUUUUGACAUGGAUUUUUGCUCUUGUUGCCCAGGAUGGAGUGCAAUGGCAUGAUCUCAGCUCACGUCACCCUCUGCCUCCCGGGUUCAAGCAAUUCUCCCGUCUCAGCCUUCCAAGUAGCUGGGAUUACAGGUGCCCACCACCAUGCCCAGCUAGUUUUUAUAUUUUUAGUAGAGAUGGGGGUUUUCCCUUUUCCAUGCCUAGUUCCCCAGGCUCCUCUUUUCCUAGCCUCCCCAAGUCCGGCAGUUGGACUUCGGGCUUGGCAUCUUGGGGGAAGGGCUUCUCAGAAAUUCCGUGCCCUGCCAGAGAAGCAAGCCCCUGUCCCCGCCCUUUGGAGCAAUGCUCAUUGUAAUCUUUCUCGAGACAGGCAAAGAGAUUAGGCAGACUUCUGGGAAGGCCGAUGCCCCCACCUGCCCCUUCUCCCCAUGUCUGGAAAAGGGAAUCAGAAGAAAGGAGUCAGGGAUUGACCCGAUUCCUCUGCUGAUUAUUACAUGCAAUUAAAAGCAGGCAGGAGACAAAUCUGGGCAUGCUGAGAGGGGGCCCUGUAUAUCAUCCACCCUGCCCUCUGGGGGUCUUGCCUGAGCCAGCAGCCAUCCAGGCUGUGGGGGCAGCAGCCACAGCAACACCCAUCCUGAGCAUCCACACUUAGAGAGGCGUGUGGGCUUGUUUUGGGGCUGCAGGCCAAGCCCCCUCCCCUUAGUGCUCAGCUGGAAGAGGCCUGCUGGCAGAGCACCCAGCAAGGGCAGGCCUGGGAGUCUGAUACCACCUGCCCAGCCUGGCUCUGCCAUCUGCUCGUUGGGGGAACUCAGGUGAGUCCUUCACUUUACCUGCAACCCAGUUCCCCCAGCUAUGCCAUUGACCUCAGACUGGAAGCUAACCAUAAACGUCACAUUCCUCAAUUCUCUCUCUCUCAUUUACCAUGCCUGUAACAAAUCGUAAAGACUGACAAUUUGCAAGGAAGGAAACGGAGAAUUUAAACACAGAGGCAGGUUCCCAGGGGAGAGAAUCCUACAUGAAGCCUCCCUGGCCUUGUCAAUGCCAGGCUGAGGGUUUAGGGUCAGGCGGCCUCUGGCCUCUCCUUAGAGGAAUGAGUGUCAGGAAAGAGACUGAGGAUUGCAUGGAGUAAGAAUGGGUUUACAUAUAACAAAUCAUGUGAAAUUAAGCUUUUCUCCUCCAAAAGGGUCUCUGGUGUCUGAGGGACACCAUGGAAAUUGUGAUUCCAGAGAGACGGAAAGGGAUGUAAGCACCUAUUCAUUCAUUGGGGUUUCCCAUCUUGUGAUUCUUCCAAUCCAUUGGGUACAAACCUGGAAGAAUGGAAUGAUCUUUAGUGAAGGAAGUUAGGUCUCAGGGAAAACUGCCCCAGGACCCCAGGGACCUGGCAAGGUCCUGACAGAUUGCCCUAAGUUGAUGUACAGACCCCACCCCACCCAUCACAGGCAAGGAGAAACCAAAAUGGUUUUUCCAGGUACC